rnacentral:rRNA from 1 species
AAUAUUGCACAAUGGACGCAAGUCUGAUGCAGCAAUGCCGCGUGUGUGAAGAAGGCCUUAGGGUUGUAAAGCACUUUCAGUAGGGAGGAAAAGUUCAAGGUUAAUAACCUUGGGCCCUGACGUUACCUACAGAAGAAGCACCGGCUAACUCCGUG